GGGGAAGAGAGAGAGAGGGGAAGAGAGAGAGAGAGGCUUUGUUUUGUAACUUGAUCAAGCAUUUCUCCAGUGUGAUCUCUGUAGAUAACAGCACGAUGCCUCCAGAUAAAAAGGCUAGACAUGCCCGUGGACUGAGGAAAAACGCCUGCACCUUAAACAGAACCCUGAAAUGAACAGGCUGCUGCAAUUGUGCCUUUGUCGGGGUGCUGCUCCAUCUGAAAGGUUUGCUCCUUGGCAACAAGGACCACUUCCAUCUGAAACAGCCUUGGUACCUUCCGUUUAUCUGAGACUUGCUCGGCACUUUCCAUCUAUCUGAGACUCACUGCCCUUCCUGGGGUUUGCAACCAUUUCAAAAUGUUUAAGAAACAUGGAUAGAACAUGAUUGACAUCCCACAGCAAAGUGGCUCCCAAUGAAGAUAACGGAUCUAAGCUCACGAACUCAAGCUGAACCCUCCCAGAAGGAGAGAUGGAAAGGUUUGACACAGACAUUCAUGCACAAGGAGCUACUGAUGCCUCCGAGAACAGGGACUUGUGAUCCUUUUUACGGACUGACACUCGAAAGCAGGAAGUGUGGGUGACUGUCAGAAAAGAUGGCUGCCAGCACAUAUUUGAUUCCCCCGAAGGUUAUCCCUAUGAGCUCAGAUUCAUUUGUCCCAUGAUUGCCAACUGGAUGUCCUCAUGUCCAUGGGGUCUGAGCAGGCCAUGAGAGACAGACACAUAUUCAAAACUGAGAACUGCCACCAUCUAUCCGUCCACCACCACGGGAAAAGCUUGCCGUGUAUCUCAACUGAGGGAGACUUAGUUAAGAUGGCCGAGAUUGCUUCUCCCAGGCUAGAGACACCUGGGAGAGGAUCCUGUGCCUUUGCAGAACAUUUUCCGGUGAAGAACGUGGGUACCGGCAAGACAACAGGGAAGUUUGCUCUCAUGCAUCAAACAUGAUAACGGAGCUAUGGACGGCAAAGGCGGGAGCACUGAAGACACAGUUUAGGAGCGAAAUGACGAGCUUGAUGUGGUGACCUAAGAGUGAUGCUCCGAAUCCAGAGUCUGUCUUCAAAACCCUGGCUCAGGCCUGAGCAGCCUAAGAAGUCACAGCACCUAAAGGCCACCAUUGCAGGAAGCUGCAACAGAAAGAGAGCAUUGGUUCCUGCUGUGACAGAUGCCCAAGCUUCCUGUGGAUAGCUGUGAAGUUAUUUACCCCAAAUCUAUUCAAAUGCAAA
rnacentral:lncRNA from 1 species